rnacentral:rRNA from 1 species
AGCAGCCGCGGUAAUUCCAGCUCCAAUAGCGUAUAUUAAAGUUGUUGUAGUUAAAAAGCUCGUAGUUGAAUUUCGGGGUCAGUAGAUUGGUCGUGCCACUGGUAUGUACUGGUCUUACUGGCUCCUCCUUCCUGAUGAACCGUAAUGCCAUUAAUUUGGUGUUGCGGGGAGACUGGACUGUUACUUUGAAAAAAUUAGAGUGUUUAAAGCAGGCUAACGCUUGAAUACAUUAGCAUGGAAUAAUGAAAUGGGACGUUCGAUCUUAUUUUGUUGGUUUCUAGGAUUGACGUAAUGAUUAAUAGGGAUAGUUGGGGGCAUUAGUAUUCAAUUGUCAGAGGUGAAAUUCUUGGAUUUAUUGAAGACUAACUACUGCGAAAGCAUUUGCCAAGGAUGUUUUCAUUAAUCAAGAACGAAAGUUAGGGGAUCGAAGACGAUCAGAUACCGUCGUAGUCUUAACCAUAAACUAUGCCGACUAGGGAUCGGAUGAUGUUAAUUUUUUAAUGACUCAUUCGGCGCCUUACGGGAAAA